rnacentral:rRNA from 1 species
AUUGAACGCUGGCGGCAUGCCUUACACAUGCAAGUCGAACGGUAACAGGUCUUCGGAUGCUGACGAGUGGCGAACGGGUGAGUAAUACAUCGGAACGUGCCCAGGCGUGGGGGAUAACGAGGCGAAAGCUUUGCUAAUACCGCAUACGAUCUAAGGAUGAAAGCAGGGGACCGCAAGGCCUUGCGCGUUUGGAGCGGCCGAUGGCAGAUUAGGUAGUGGGUGGGAUAAAAGCUUACCAAGCCGACGAUCUGUAGCUGGUCUGAGAGGACGACCAGCCACACUGGGACUGAGACACGGCCCAGACUCCUACGGGAGGCAGCAGUGGGGAAUUUUGGACAAUGGGCGAAAGCCUGAUCCAGCAAUGCCGCGUGCAGGAUGAAGGCCUUCGGGUUGUAAACUGCUUUUGUACGGAACGAAAAGGCUCUGGCUAAUACCUGGGGCACAUGACGGUACCGUAAGAAUAAGCACCGGCUAACUACGUGCCAGCCGCCGCGGUAAGAC